rnacentral:lncRNA from 1 species
UUUUUGUUAUAACUUUUGGUGCCUUUUCUGAGUUAUGAAGACCCCUCUUUAUUGUUAUGGAAGUGAAGAAUCAUGAUAAGAACAAACUCUUUCCGACCAAUCAAAUUAAAGGGUGACAUGGCCUCAUUUGAUUAACCAGAACAUGUCACUUGAACACGUGGUGUGACUUCAUUGGUCUUUUAGUGUGACUUGGCAUGCCUUGUCAUUUUGACACGUGGCAUGAUCCUAUUUGCUUUUUCGUUUAACUUGCCACGCCACGACAUUUGACACGUGGCACCAAACUGGGCCUCUAGGAAGUUGUCACCUUGGGCUUAAUGAAGUGGGCUCAUCACUUUAGCCCAAUUAAAUGGGCUAGCCAAAUGGAUUAAAACUUAUUUAUUUAAUCCAUACAUGUUGGACUUAUAUAAUUAAUUCAAUUGUAAUAGCCCAAUAAUUUUUUUGGAACUAAUAUAUUUUAAAUUUAGAAUAUAUUCCAAACUAUUUUAUGGAUUUAAUUCUAAUAAAAUUUAUAUGCUUUCAAAAUGCUCCCUACUUCAAGACUUGUCAAGGGUUUUAAACCUUUGAAGACUUAGCUUGAAGUAUUUAUAUUAGUAUACUUGAGCUAGCUUGAUUUAAUCAUAUGAAAUGGCAAAGUAUGAAAUUUAUAUUUCAAAUAUCACGGUGACAUGCCUCAAUCACAUAGAAUAUAAAAGCUAUUAAAUUUUAGAUUUCAAGAUGGCCCCUCACGUACUUUGCGAUCCAUAUUGUACUUGGUGAGCAAUCUCUAUUCUUGGAAAAGCAUUCCUUUUUUGUCUCUAAUAAAAUACUUUGCCGUGACUAUUAGAAUUUUAGGAGGACACUACAAAUUACACUUGAUUUCUUUUAGAGAGUCCUUACCGUGAUUAGCGGACAAAUUCCAACAUAAUUGAUUUGUCUUUGAAUUAUUACAUUGCCGCCGUAGUUAGACCAAUCCUUCUUCGAAGACACCAGCAGCAGCCGAAUCCGACAUGAAAAACAAUUACAAUAUCCCAUAAGGUAUUUGUCCUCUAGCAGUUGCUUUUUGAGAUCUAUAUAAACCCAUGUGCUCGUAAUCGUUAAGCAUUAAUUUGCAGUUUUUGCAAGCCAUUUGAGUUUAGUUUAGUAAACUCGAAAGUAUUGACGAGAAUGUAAUUUCUUCUUUUUUUCUUGCGCUUUUUUUUGUCAUUUUUUUGUAGGUCAAGCGAGAAAUAUAUGUUCUUGUUCAAUGAGAUGAUCCAUGCAUGAAGAAGACAAUCUUGGAGUGUAAGGGGAUGAGAACUCAUCCUUGCCCAAAUAUUAGAGAGAUUACUUUCAUGGCCGGACUAUCAGAGAGAUUACUCUCAAUAUGGCCCGACUACCAGAUAGAUUACUCGCAAAAUGGUCCGACUACCGGAGAGAUCACUCUCAAUGUGGCUCGACUAUCGGAGAGAUUACUGUUAAUAUGGCUCGACUAUCGGCGAGGCCAACUUAAGGUGCAAAGAGACUCAUAUGUCCACCUUAAGAUUGGAAAAUUAUAGUUCCUUUUAAGGACAAACCCGCGGAGAGGCCAACAUAAGGUGCAAAAGGACUUGUAUGUCCACCUUAAGAUUAGAAAGUUACAGUUCCUUUUAAGGACAAACCUGGGAAGAGGCCAACUUAAUGUGCAAAGAGACUUAUAUGAACACCUUAAGAUUGAAAAGUUAUAGUUCCUUUUAAGGACAAACCCACAAAGAGGCUAACUUAAGUUGCAACAACAUCCAAAGCGAGGAAUGCCAAAGUGAUAAAUAAUGUUUACUCGGAUGAAACUUGCAACAUUUUCCUUCUUUACUUCCUUAAGAGCAACAACUUCAGCUCAUUUGAGAAGUAGUUAGUUGCAGCCAAGAUGUAUAGGUGCCCACAUGAGGACUUUGGCAGUGGUCCAACAACAUCCAAUCCCCAAGCGUCAAAUGGCCAGGAUGCAACANNNNNNNNNNNNNNNNNNNNNNNNNNNNNNNNNNNNNNNNNNNNNNNNNNNNNNNNNNNNNNNNNNNNNNNNNNNNNNNNNNNNNNNNNNNNNNNNNNNNNNNNNNNNNNNNNNNNNNNNNNNNNNNNNNNNNNNNNNNNNNNNNNNNNNNNNNNNNNNNNNNNNNNGUAGUCCAAGCAAUCUUUUACCAUCGUUGGCCAAUAAUAUCUCAUCCUUUUUAUAUGGAAGUGGAGCUUUGGUCCAGACUGGUAUGACCCACAUACUCCAGAAUGUGCCUCUUGCAUAGCUUGGAGAGCUUCCUCUUCUCCUAGGCAUCGCAAGAGUACUCCCUCGAACGACUGCCUGUAUAAAGUAUCUUUUUAAUAAAAGAACCGGGGUGCACAACGACAGAUUUUAGUCCUUCUCCUCGGAUUUUAUAGAAGUAUAUCAUAGCAUAAGUAGUCGAUAAUGGGUUGUCUACAUUCUUCUUUCUUAACUUCAGAAAGAGCAAUAAGAUUCUUGAGUUCAUUGUCUUCACCUUCAGCCUCAUUUGGCGGCGGUACUACCCAUUUUUGGCAUACGGUAACUUGUCCUUGGUUAGGAAGGGCUAAUGCUGAAGCUAGAGCAGCUAAAGCAUCAGCCUUCUUAUUUUCUUUCCUUGGCACAUGCUAAAUAGUCACAUCACCGAGCCACCCCAUCAACUUUUUAGUGUAAUCAUGAUAUGGGCAUUGUUCGGGCUUCUUAACCUCGUAACUACCCAAAGUUGAUUGACCACUAACUGGGAGUCACCAAAGACUUGCAAUUGCAAUUGCUUCAUAUCAACGACCAUUUCAAGCCCAAGUAUUAAUGCUUGAUACUCAGCAACGUUGUUGGAGCAGAGUUGUGUCAAUGUGAAAAAGUAGGGCAAGACUUCACCUUGGGGAGUGAGAAAUACUACGCCAGCCCCGGCUCCCCCAUGAUGCCCAACAUCAUCAAAGUACAUCUUCCAUGGAGGUUGAACUUCAACGACCAUUGUGUCCUCAUCAGGUAGUUCAUCAGUUAGCUCCCAGUCAACAGGUAUCGGAUGAUCUGCCAAAAAUUCUGCCAAUGCUUGUCUUUUUACAGCCUUUUGAGGGAUGUACAAAAUCUCAAAUUGUUAAAAUUAGAGGUACAAUAUCGCUAGUCGAUCACUAAUAACAGGUUUUGACAUCACAAACUUGAUGAGAUUUGGUUUAGAAACAAGACAGACGACAUGAGCUUGAAAGUAGUGCCUCAACUUUUGAAUUGAGAAGACUAGCGCCAAACACAACUUCUCAAUUGGCGAAUAAUUCAACUCGUUAGGUGUCAUCAUCUUGCUCAAGUAGUAAAGAUAGUUUUCUUUCCACUCACUAUUUUCUUGGGCCAACAGUGCUCCAACACACCUUUCCCGCACUGCAACGUAUAGUAUCAAUGGCUUUCCAGGUAUAGGAGCUGCCAAAACUGGAGGUUUCAUCAAGUAGGUUUUGAUAAUUUCGAGGGCAUUGCUACAAUCUUGGUCCUACUUGAAAGGAGCGCCUUUCUUCAUGAGGCGACUAAAUGGUUGGCACCUCCCAGCCAGGUUUGAUAUGAAUCUUCUAAGGUAUGCUAGCUUUCCUAGCAGACUUUUGAACUCAUGGAUAUCUCAAAGCUCUCGCAUUUUUAAAAUGGCAUCCACUUUGGCUUGAUCAAUUUCGAUCCCUUGAUGUAAGACAAUGAAACCAAGAAACUUUCCAGAAGUAACACCAAAGGCACAUUUAUAUGCUAGCUUUCCUUGCAGACUUUUUAAUUCAUGGAUAUCUCGAGGUUCGGGCAUUUUCAAAAUGACAUCCACUUUGACUUAAUCAAUUUCGAUCCCUCGAUGUCGGACAAUGAAACCAAGGAACUUUCCAGAAGUAACUCCAAAGUUGGUACCUCUGGAGCAAUUCAAAUACCAUCUUCAAGUCUUUUAUGUGGUCUCCCUUCUCUCUUGAUUUCUCCACCAAGUCAUCAACAUAGCAUUCAACAUUCUUGUGGAGAAGAUCGUCGAAAAUGUUCUACAUAGCCCUUUAGUAAGUAAAACUAGCGUUCUUCAAGCCAAAAGGCAGUACCUUGUAGCAAUAAAUACCCUUUGGGGUACGAAAUGCAGUAAGCUCUUUAUCUUUUGGUGGCAUGCGUAUUUGGUUAUAGCCCGACAAACCGUCCAUAAAUGACAUUGCCUCGUACCCAGUAGUAGCAUCCAUUAUCGGUUCUGGAAUGGCAGAAACUCAUCUUCCGAACAUUCAUUGUUAAGAUCCCUAAAGUCAACGCACACUCGAAUCUGGCCAUUAUUCUUCCUUACAGGGACAAUACUUGAAAACCAUGUUGGGUACUUAACUUCACGAAUAAAGCCAGCUUCGAUGAGUUUGUUAACUUCUAUUUCAAUCAAGGGAACCAAGUCCGGCCUAAAACACAUUUGAGCUUGUUUAACAGGUCGAGCAUCAUUUUUUACUGUAAGGUGAUGGACUGCUACUUUCAGGUCCAAUCCAAGCAUCUCUUUGUUGAGCUUGUUUAACAGGACGAGCACCAUUUUUGACUACAAGGUGAUGGACUGCUACUUUUGGGUCCAAGCCAUGCAUCUCUUUGUAACUCCAAGCAAAUACAUCCCUGAUCUCUUUGAGUAAUUCAAUAUAAGUGCUCUCUUCAUCAGCUUCAAGUAAAGCACUUAGGUAGGUGGGUUUUGGUUCUUCAUCGGUGCCAAGGUUGAUUUCUUUUAAGGCAUCAACUGUCGUCUUCACUCUUUCUUCAAGUUUAGGUGGAGCAUAUUUCACAUCUUCAUCUUCUUGAGGGUCCCAAGUAUUGAAGGAUAUGUGAUAACACGGCAAAACAUUCUCUAAUUCCGCAUUAUCUUCCAUCGCAUAUGGUAUGCCAUUCUUGAUUUCAACAGUUACAUGAUACGAAAAACCUACACUUUCUUUUUCUUCAUCACGUUCCUUAGUAUAGACCACACUAUAUUGCUUUACCUUCAGUACUUCUUUACAUGAAACCACAAGUUUUUUUUGUCGCCUCAUUCUAGAAGGAACCAAACUUUGGAAAUCCUUAAAGAUCUCCCGGAUUUUGGGUGAAACGGGUGUUCUUAUGCUUUGAAAAUUUCUCCGAAACUUGUUCCCCUUUUUUAGUGGACCCAAUCUUUCAAACAUAGAGGUCCUCACAGGUGAUCUUCCAAGUCGAUCAAAUAUAGAAGGCUUGUUAGAAGCAGUUGAUUCAUCUUCUACAGUGAUAUAGCUAUUUCUCGCCCUUCUUAUUGAGAUGCGCACUGGUGACGGUUUCUUGUAUCCCAAACCUUCAUGUGGUUUCCUCGUUGCAGCUUCCAAUGGGAGCUUUCCUAAAUUUGACGGCUCAUUGGGAUUGUAUCCAGCUUUUGCAAAUAACUUGUAAACGUUAGGGUCAAAACCUUCAUUUGUUCGCUUUGUAGGGAGUGCCACAUUGUGCAAACGAUUUUGGGCUACAAACCGUGCAAGUGGCAUUGAGGAUGACUUUACUGCCUCAAUUUGUUUGACCUGAAGAGUUAACUCCCUUAGCUGUUGGCUUGGCGAUUAGAUGAUUCAUUUUCAUCUUAUUCCUUUUAGGGACAUAUUGGAGCGCCAGACUUUCUUUCUUUCCAUAAGACGUAAUAUCCCCUCUAUAAAAUUUAUUUGCGUUGGGUUGUCCCUCCUUACUAGAAACUUUGGCUUCACUAGUAGUCAUCUCUUCUAUUUGUUGAGGGCUCUUUAUUCUUGCUUUUCAUGCCAUCAUCAGCUUUUAGCUCCUUCACGAUGCGGUUCUUGAAGUAGAACUUUGCAUAGGCAAAGUGUGACUCAACCUCGGUGAAUGGCUCAUCAUCAGCAACUACCCAUCUUCUCGACUUUACCCUCAUAGUAUUUUAAACAUUGAUGGUAGGUAGAUGGAACUACUUUAUUCUCAUGUAUUUAAGGCCUCUGAAGAAAAACAUUAUAUGAAGUCUUCGCGUUGAUCACAUGCAUACAUGCACUUGAUUGAAUAUAUUCAAUAGUGAUUCCCAACCUGAUCGUGCCCAUGGCUUUGCCCCAUUGGUUGAACCCUUGGAUCAUUUCACGACUUUCUGAGAGUUCGUUAAUGGGAAUACCAAGUUCUUUAAUUGUGUGGACUAACAAAAUGUUCACUGAGGAUCCUCCAUAAACCAAAACCUGAUUUACCUUUUUACCACGCAUAUAGCCAACUAGGUACAAUGGGCGGUUAUGAGAAGUGUCACUUAGUAAAAGAUCGUCAUUUGUGAACGUGACCUUUUCUUCACAAGCAUUAACUUCUUGAAGUGGACUCGAUGGGAUUUUCCAAAAAUGGGGCCAACGGUAGGUCAUCACUCUUUUCUUCCCCUUUGACAGCAUGGCAACAAGCGGCAUCAAUGCCCGAAUGGGAAAUCUUUGUGCGAAACCAACUUGGUAAAAUCUCCUCCAAGGUUACUGGAUUCCGUGGCUUUGGAGAAUGGUGCAUCUCCACUUUCGCUUUCUUCAAAUGCCUAACUGAAUUCUUUUUAGUUGGUCUUUUUACCAUCAUCUUCCUUGUUGGUUGUUCUAUUGAUUCUUUUCGUGGGCUCCUUUAGUGGUGCCCGACGAGUCACCAAUGUCCAACCUUCAUCAUCAUCAGGUUGAUGACUUCAACUUUGUCGCUCUCCAUUAAUUCUUCAUCUUUACUUUCUUUAAACCACAUAAGUCAUCAGGACUAAAUGAGCCAAAGGUGAUAGAUACUUGGUUUGCGCUUGCUUUCUCAUCUUCAAGCAUGAUCUUCUUUUCGCGAGCCAAGUCCACGACUUUAUCCUUGAAGACAAAGCACUUCUCCAGAGGGUGGCUUACAAGUCGGUGAUAUUUGCAGUAAUUUGGGUCAUUUGUUUCCCAGCUUCAUUUGGUCGUUUCAUCUCUGGAAGCUCAAUGGAAUUAGCUUGAGGAGUUCUUCGAAAAUGGCUGGCACAUCAGAAUCUAGGAAUGGGUACUCUUUCUCCUUCAUUUCUUUUAGAGUGAGAUUUCCACUUGGCUUGUCUUGAAAAGAAGUGGAUUUCAUACUCUGCUUCUUUCUCACUUUCGUCGUGAACUUCAUAGGUGAUAUAUUGACAUUCAUAUCUUCUUUGCUUUUUGACUUGGGUACAAACUUACCCCACUUCCUGACUUCUUGCUUGUCAUUCACUUUGCGAGGUUCAUAGACGGGCAGCUUUUCAUUUCCAGUGGAGGCCAUGCUCAAUUACAUGUCAUGGUCACGAGUUGCAAGUUCUUCAAAUGUGCUAGGCUUGAUACCUUGCAAGAUGUAGCACAAUCCCUAAUGCAUGCCUUGGAUGCACAUCUCUAUGUCUGAAGCUUCAUGAAGCCUAUCUUUGCAGUUGAGGCUUGCAUUCCUCCAAUGAUUGAUAAAGUUGAUAACUGGUUCCACCUUUUGUUGACGAGUAUUUAUAAGUUCUAUCAUACUCACAGUACGUCUCAUGCUAUAAAAGCGAUUGAGGAAAUUCUUUCACUGAGGAGUAUUUGUAAGUUCUAUCAUACUCAUAGUACGUCUCACACUAUAGAGGCGAUUGAGGAACUCUUGCUCUAGUUGAUCCUAGCUAACGAUCGAUCCACCCUCGAAGUCCAUAUACCAGUCAAAAAUAUUUCCUUUCAGCAAGCGGACAAACUGCUUGAUAAGGUAAUCUCCAUAAGUCCCAACAUUGUUGCACGUCUCCACGAAGUGCGCAACAUGUUGCUUUGGGUUACCUUUACCAUCAAACUGUUGAAACUUUGGAGGUUGAUAGCCAGCAGACAUCUUCAACAUAUCGACCCUUGCAGUAUACGGCUUUGCAUAUGUAAGGAAGGAUUUGGCAGCAACUUCGUAUUUGUUCUUAAUGGCUCCUUCGAUAAACUCCUUCACCUGAUCGAUUGGAAUCAUCCCAUCAGAUGAGAGAGGGAAAGCCUUAGUGGAUGCUGCUUGUCUUGGGGGAGAGUCACUCUCUAGAACUUUUGGGAGCUUGCCGGGUGCAUGAGUAGAUUAUUCCUUCAUCAAGAUUCCCACCCUAGCGAUUGCUUCCAUCAAGUUUGCCAACUUCUCCUCCAUGGAUGAAGUGUUUGUCACCAUGGCUUGCAUGAUUGGCCUGGGCAGAUUCUUCUUCCAUCAAGAUUCCCACCCUGUCUGUUACUUUGUCAAUUCUAGCCUCUUGAUUUUGCAUGCAUUUGGUCAAGACAGCGAUUGCUUCCGUCAAAUUUUCCAACUGCUCCUCCAUAGAUGAAGUGUUUAUCACUAUGGCUUACAUGAUUGUCGUGCAUGGCGGAGAGUAGCAUGGAUUUUUACACCGAUUGAUCCUUGAUUGGCUCACGCUAUGUGGUGUAAGUGGGGAGGAUCCAUCACUUGAAGCAUCAUCAUCUUCCUUCACAAUAGAGUUCUUGGAGUCGGAGAGGUCAAGCAGAGCAAGAGUUUUCUUAAUCUUUUCAGCAACAUCGCUCCCUCCUUCAGAUGCGAUUGUGGAAGAUCUUACUCCUUUUGAGGAUGACGAUUCGAAAAUUGGGGUUGAUGCGGAUGACACUUGGGGUGCUUGUUGUCCUAAAGAGCUUGCUUUGAUCCUCGUAACUUGUCCGAAGCUAUCAAAGGUGACAUCGAAGAUGCUUUCCACAUCAACAUAGAACCUGGAGUUGGCAGCAUUGGUGGAAGUUGAACUGGAGUUGAUGUUCUUUGAAGCCAUUUCAAUGUUCUUGGUAUUUGGUGAAUGAAAAGUUGAGAUGAGAGGUAGAGAUUGUCCCACUGGGCGUGCCAGAAUUUGUAGACAAUAAAUUACGUCAAGAAAAUAAAAUUAAAACCAAAAAAUAUUGCAACAAUCGUAAUAUUUUAUUUUGAAUAUUGAGAGUUACAUCUCUAUAAAUCAUCUGAUUGUUCUUUUCAAUGGUAUAUAAAUUCAAGGGCCUUUAAGCUUGAUCUUGAAUCUAUAUUUGGUGCCAUGAACGAUGAUCUUGUUCUUGAGCUUGAGCAUGAUUACUUGGACUUAAACUUGAUCUGGUCUUCGUUCUUGAGCUUGAACUUAAUUUUUUCUUCGUUCUUGAGCUUAAACUUGAUUUGUUCUUUGUUCUUGAGCUUGAAAUUGAUUUCUUGAAAUUGAACUUGAAGCUUGAAACUUGUGGAGGAAUUUGUAGCGUUUGAUCCACAAGCUCUUUCUUGCUUCUUGUUAUAACUUGUGGUGUCUUUUCUGAGUUAAGAAGACUCCUAUUUAUAGUUGCAGUGUUUGAUCCAUGAGCUCUUUCUUACUUCUUGUUAUAACUUUUGGUGCCUUUUCUGAGUUAUGGAGACCCCUAUUUAUAGUUGUAGAAGGGAAGAGUCAUGAUAGGAACAAACUCUUUCCGAUCAAUCAAAUUGAAGAGUGACAUGGCCGCAUUUGAUUGGCCAGAACAUGUCACUUGCACACGUGGCGCGAUUUCAUUGGCCUUUUAGUGUGACUUGGCAUGUCUUGUCAUUUUGACAUGUGGCAUGAUCCUAUUGGCUUUUCCGUUUGGCUUGGCUCGCCACGUUAUUUGACACGUGGCUGCAAACUGGGCCUCUAGGAAGUGUCAUCUUGGGCUUAAUGAAGUGAGCUCAUCACUUUAGCUCAAUUAAAUGGGCUAGCCCAAUGGAUUAAGACUUAUUUAUUUAAUCCAUACUUGUUGUACUUCUAUAAUUAAUUCAAAUAUAAUUGCCAAUAAAUUUAUUUGAACUAAUAUAUCUUGAAUUUAAAAUUUAGUCUAAAUUAUUUUAUGGAUUUAAUUCUAAUAAAAUUUAUAUGUCUACAAUACUAUAUUGAAAAAAUUAUUGCUAAUUUAUCCAUACUAUAUUGCAAAUUAUAUAGCUAAUUUAUACAUAAUAUAUUGCUAAAUUAAUGCAAAAAAAAUUACCCGAAAAAGGACUACAAAAUCUGUUGCCGGACCACCGUCGGAUGAGAGAAGAGUCACAGAUUCCUUUGCCAAAAACGAUUUAAACAACUUGAGAAAAAGUAAAUAGGGGGAGGAGGGGGUCGGCUGGAGGAGGAAAAUGGAGGGGGAGAGUGAGAGUGAGAGAGAGGGAAAUCAUGUCAAGAUACCUUAUAUUGUUAGAUUAGAGAAGAACAAGAAAUAAAGUGGGUGUUGCAGAUGAGAGGGAGGAUAGGAAAAAAACUAGAG